GCUAGCUACAGGCUUAACACAUGCAGGUCGAGGGGCAGCAUGAACUUAGCUUGCUAAGUUUGAUGGCGACCGGCGCACGGGUGAGUAACACGUAUCCAACCUGCCGAUGACUCGGGGAUAGCCUUUCGAAAGAAAGAUUAAUACCCGAUGGCAUAGUUCUUCCGCAUGGUAGAACUAUUAAAGAAUUUCGGUCAUCGAUGGGGAUGCGUUCCAUUAGGUUGUUGGCGGGGUAACGGCCCACCAAGCCUUCGAUGGAUAGGGGUUCUGAGAGGAAGGUCCCCCACAUUGGAACUGAGACACGGUCCAAACUCCUACGGGAGGCAGCAGUGAGGAAUAUUGGUCAAUGGACGAGAGUCUGAACCAGCCAAGUAGCGUGAAGGAUGACUGCCCUAUGGGUUGUAAACUUCUUUUAUACGGGAAUAAAGUGAGGCACGUGUGCCUUUUUGUAUGUACCGUAUGAAUAAGGAUCGGCUAACUCCGUGCCAGCAGCCGCGGUAAUACGGAGGAUCCGAGCGUUAUCCGGAUUUAUUGGGUUUAAAGGGAGCGUAGGCGGACGCUUAAGUCAGUUGUGAAAGUUUGCGACUCAACCGUAAAAUUGCAGUUGAUACUGGGUGUCUUGAGUACAGUAGAGGCAGGCGGAAUUCGUGGUGUAGCGGUGAAAUGCUUAGAUAUCACGAAGAACUCCGAUUGCGAAGGCAGCCUGCUGGACUGUAACUGACGCUGAUGCUCGAAAGUGUGAGUAUCAAACAGGAUUAGAUACCCUGGUAGUCCACACAGUAAACGAUGAAUACUCGCUGUUUGCGAUAUACAGUAAGCGGCCAAGCGAAAGCGUUAAGUAUUCCACCUGGGGAGUACGCCGGCAACGGUGAAACUCAAAGGAAUUGACGGGGGCCCGCACAAGCGGAGGAACAUGUGGUUUAAUUCGAUGAUACGCGAGGAACCUUACCCGGGCUUGAAUUGCAACUGAAUGAUGUGGAGACAUGUCAGCCGCAAGGCAGUUGUGAAGGUGCUGCAUGGUUGUCGUCAGCUCGUGCCGUGAGGUGUCGGCUUAAGUGCCAUAACGAGCGCAACCCUUAUCGAUAGUUACCAUCAGGUGAUGCUGGGGACUCUGUCGAGACUGCCGUCGUAAGAUGUGAGGAAGGUGGGGAUGACGUCAAAUCAGCACGGCCCUUACGUCCGGGGCUACACACGUGUUACAAUGGGGGGUACAGAAGGCAGCUACACGGCGACGUGAUGCUAAUCCCGAAAGCCUCUCUCAGUUCGGAUUGGAGUCUGCAACCCGACUCCAUGAAGCUGGAUUCGCUAGUAAUCGCGCAUCAGCCACGGCGCGGUGAAUACGUUCCCGGGCCUUGUACACACCGCCCGUCAAGCCAUGAAAGCCGGGGGUACCUGAAGUGCGUAACCGCGAGGAGCGCCCUAGGGUAAAACUGAAG
rnacentral:rRNA from 1 species